rnacentral:rRNA from 1 species
GACAGAGGGAUGCAAGCGUUAUCCGGAAUGAUUGGGCGUAAAGGCGUCUGUAGGUGGCUUUUUAAGUCCGCCGUCAAAUCCCAGGGCUCAACCCUGGACAGGCGGUGGAAACUACCAAGGCUGGAGUACGGUAGGGGCAGAGGGAAUUUCCGGUGGAGCGGGUGAAAUGACGUAGAGAUCGGAAAGAACACCAACGGCGAAAGGCACUCUGCUGGGCCGACACUGACACUGAGAGACGAAAGCGUAGGGGAG